AGAAUCAACGCUGGCGGCGUGCCUAACACAUGCAAGUCGCACGAGAAAGGGGCUUCGGCUCUGAGUAAAGUGGCGCACGGGUGAGUAACACGUGAAUUAUCUACCUCCGAGUGGUGAAUAACUGAGAGAAAUCUUAGCUAAUACCGCAUAACACUUACGGGUCAAAGCAGCAAUGCGCUUGGAGAGGAGUUCGCGGCCGAUUAGUUAGUUGGCGGGGUAAUGGCCCACCAAGACGAUGAUCGGUA
rnacentral:rRNA from 1 species